rnacentral:rRNA from 1 species
UACGUAGGGUGCAAGCGUUGUCCGGAAUUAUUGGGCGUAAAGGGCUCGUAGGCGGUCUGUCACGUCGGGAGUGAAAAACUCGGGGCUUAACCCCCGAGCCUGCUUCCGAUACGGGCAGACUAGAGGUAUGCAGGGGAGAAUGGAAUUCCUGGUGUAGCGGUGAAAUGCGCAGAUAUCAGGAGGAACACCGGUGGCGAAGGCGGUUCUCUGGGCAUUACCUGACGCUGAGGAGCGAAAGUGUGGGGAGCGAACAGG